AGUGAACGCUGGCGGCGUGCCUAAUACAUGCAAGUCGAACGAAGUGGCGCACGGGUGGGUAAUAUAUAGUUAAUCUGCCCUCCACUGAGGAACAACAGUUGGAAACGACUGCUAAUACCUCAUCGUGUAGUAUGAGACUAUAGGGUAUCAGGUAGUUGGUAAGGUAAUGGCUUACCAAGGCUAUGACGCGUCACUGGUCGGAGAGGAUGAUCAGUCACAUCGGGAAUGUGACACGGUCCAAAAGCCUACGGGAGGCAGGAGUAGGGAAGCUUCGGCAAUGGGGGGAACCCUGAACGAGCAACGCCGGGUGAGUGAAGAAGGGUUUCGGAGCGGAAAGCGCGUUUGUUAAGGAAGGUGUGAGAAUGGAAAGUUCAUGCUGUGACGGUACUUAACGAGAAAGCGACGGCUAACUACGUGCCAGCAGCCGCGGUAAUAC
rnacentral:rRNA from 1 species